CAGCCGUAAACUAUGCGCGUUAGGUGUAUCGGUGACCACGAGUCACCGAGGUGCCGAAGGGAAACCGUGAAACGUGCCGCCUGGGAAGUACGGUCGCAAGGCUGAAACUUAAAGGAAUUGGCGGGGGAGCACAACAACGGGUGGAGCCUGCGGUUUAAUUGGACUCAACGCCGGGAAGCUCACCGGAUAGGACAGCAGAAUGAUUGCCGGGCUGAAGACCCUGCAUGACUAGCUGAGAGGAGGUGCAUGGCGUAGACGUCU
rnacentral:rRNA from 1 species